ensembl:lncRNA novel transcript
GGCACGUGAGAGAAAUCACUCAACUCUGUGGACAAGAGCCACGACAGGCAGCCUCUGCUACAUCUUCCUUACGGCCUGGCAAAAGCAAUCUCCCUAAAUGCCCUCGGUUGGCUUCCGUUCCAUUUCCCACAGCAGCUAUUAUGAACAUUCACUGUCCCAUAAUCUCCCCGCUUGAUGAGGACUACAGCACCUACUUCACAGAGGAAAUAAAGGCAAGAACUUCCUAGGCUUCUCCCUCUCCCGUACUCCACAGGUGCUAAUGCAGCCAGGAAACACAACAGGAGCAAAGAGGGGCCUGGCCUUAUGCAUGGAAGCUGAAGGACUGAAAUUUGCAUUUGAUCAUCUUCAACUUCUGGCACCUGUUGUCGCAGUUUUCUGAGUGCCCACUGAGCUAUCCACAAGCUGGCCUCCUCUGAGGAGUACAACACUCCCAAACUACUUCUCUCAGCUUCCACCUAACUCUGCAGAACUCCCUUCCUUUAGCGAGACCAAACUUAGCUAGCAGUUAGAGGUCACCCAACUGUGCCAAUUCCUACUAAAUUGUAACAGAAAGCCCCCAGACCUCUGCAAUUGAAAAAGAAUCAGCCAUACUUACCACCACUAGUACAAGAAGAAGGGUCCACAGCUAGCACAGAUAAUUUGUGCCCUCUCUCAGUAAGCAUUUUUCCAAAAUAUUCUAUAAAUGUUGAUUUUCCAGCACCAGGGGGCCCAGACAAUCCUACGGUGGAAAGAGAUCUUCUAAUUC